CCUACGGGAGGCAGCAGUCGAGAAUCAUUCACAAUGGGGGAAACCCUGAUGGUGCGACGCCGCGUGGGGGAAUGAAGGUCUUCGGAUUGUAAACCCCUGUCAUGUGGGAGCAAAUUAAAAAGAUAGUACCACAAGAGGAAGAGCCGGCUAACUCUGUGCCAGCAGCCGCGGUAAUACAGAGGUCUCAAGCGUUGUUCGGAAUCACUGGGCGUAAAGCGUGCGUAGGCUGUUUCGUAAGUCGUGUGUGAAAGGCGCGGGCUCAACCCGCGGACGGCACAUGAUACUGCGAGACUAGAGUAAGGGAGGGGGAACCGGAAUUCUCGGUGUAGCAGUGAAAUGCGUAGAUAUCGAGAGGAACACUCGUGGCGAAGGCGGGUUCCUGGACAUUAACUGACGCUGAGGCACGAAGGCCAGGGGAGCGAAAGGGAUUAGAUACCCUGGUAGUC
rnacentral:rRNA from 1 species